rnacentral:rRNA from 1 species
CACUUCUAAGGAAGGCAGCAGGCGCGCAAAUUACCCAAUCCUGACUCAGGGAGGUAGUGACAAGAAAUAACAAUAAACCGGCUUAUGCCGGUUUAAUUGGAAUGAGUACAAUUUAAACAUCUUAACGAGGAACAAUUGGAGGGCAAGUCUGGUGCCAGCAGCCGCGGUAAUUCCAGCUCCAAUAGCGUAUACUAAAGUUGUUGCAGUUAGAAAGCUCGUAGUUGGAUUUCUGUGGGGACGGAGCGGCCGGCCGCGCAUCGCGGUUCGAGCUAGCGCUUUCCCUACAUCCUGCCGCGAACCGUGCUACCAUUAGUUUGGUGGCGCCGGGGAUCGGCUCGAUUACUUUGAGAAAAAUAGAGUGUUCAAAGCAGGCCACAUGCCUUGAAUAAGUUAGCAUGGAAUAAUAACUAAGGACUUCGGUUCUAUUUUGUUGGUGUUCGGGACUGAAGUAAUGAUUGAUAGGGACAGUUGGGGCGGUCUGUAUUCCAAAGCGAGAGGUGAAAUUCUUAGACCUUCGGAAGACAAACAGCUGCGAAAGCGUUCCGCAAGGAUGUUCCCUUUGAUCAAGAACGAAAGUUGGGGGAUCGAAGACGAUCAGAUACCGUCGUAGUCUCAACUAUAAACUAUACCAGCUAGGGAUCGGCCAACGUUAUUUUAUACCGACUUGGUCGGCACCUUAUGAGAAAUCAAAGCAUCUGGGUUCCGGGGGGAGUAUGGUCGCAAGGCUGAAACUUAAAGGAAUUGACGGAAGGGCACCACCAGCCGUGGAGCCUGUGGCUUAAUUUGACUCAACACGGGAAAACUUACCAGGUCCAGACAUAGUAAGGAUUGACAGAUUGAUAGCUCUUUCUUGAUUCUGUGGGUGGUGGUGCAUGGCCGUUCUUAGUUGGUGGAGUGAUUUGUCUGGUUAAUUCCGUUAACGAACGAGACCCCAGCCUGCUAAAUAGCGCGCGUGAGCUUUGCUCGCGGCGAGCUUCUUAGAGGGACUAUGAUGCGCGAUAGCACAUGGAAGUUUGGGGCAAUAACAGGUCUGUGAUGCCCUUAGAUGUUCUGGGCCGCACACGGGCUACACUGGCGCCUGCAACGAGCAUAUCAGCUGGCCCGAGAGGGUCUUGGCUAAUCUUUUGAACCGGCGCCGUGCUUGGGAUUGACCUUUGCAAUUGUUGGUCAUGCAACGAGGAAUGCCUUGUAAACGCGAGUCAUCAGCUCGCAUUGAAUACGUCCCUGCCCUUUGUACACACCGCCCGUCGCUCCUACCGAUGAAUGUUCCGAUGAAAUUUUCGGAGAGCACCUGUGAACCUGGCUCCGCCUUGCGAACGGGAGGCUCAAAGUCACUUAAAUCUGAACAUUU